UACAGAGGGGGCAAGCGUUGUUCGGAAUUACUGGGCGUAAAGGGCGCGUAGGCGGCCUGCUAAGUCGAACGUGAAAUCCCCGAGCUCAACUCGGGAACUGCGUCCGAUACUGACAGGCUUGAAUCCGGGAGAGGGAUGCGGAAUUCCAGGUGUAGCGGUGAAAUGCGUAGAUAUCUGGAGGAACACCGGUGGCGAAGGCGGCAUCCUGGACCGGCAUUGACGCUGAGGAGCGAAAGCCAGGGGAGCAAACGGG
rnacentral:rRNA from 1 species